AAUGGGGAGGAUUUUGCUGAUGGAAGAAGUCAAAUUAAGAAAUGAGCAAACAGCCCCUUUGAUGAUAAGGAAGGCUGAAAUGUUGCAUGCGGACCACCCAUGGGGAUCAUUCCUUGCCUGGAGUACCUCCAGAGGCAUAUGGCAUCUGGUCUGGAGUGCUGUAGCUCAAGAGGGAUGAAUGAAGAACUUGAGCAACGAGAACGGAAAUUAUUAGAGUACUGGAAGCUUCUAGGAACAGCAUCAUCUCUACAGACAGCUUUCCUGAAUGCCACAGGGCUCUCUGUGCGUCAGGGAGAUGGAAGAGGGGAUCUCUUCAGGUCUAGUCCAGUGCUCUUUUCUAUGUUUCUGUGAUAUGGGGAGGUGCUCUGACCCUCACACUCACUGCUCCAGACAAUUCAGUCCCAACGUGUCCUCUCCUGGGGUAUAGCAUCCCAU
ensembl:lncRNA